UACGGAGGGUGCAAGCGUUGUUCGGAUUUAUUGGGCGUAAAGCGCGUGUAGGCGGUUUCUUAAGUCUGAUGUGAAAGCCCUGGGCUCAACCCAGGAAGUGCAUUGGAUACUGGGAAACUUGAAUACGGGAGAGGGUAGUGGAAUUCCUAGUGUAGGAGUGAAAUCGUAGAUAUUAGGAGGAACACCGGUGGCGAAGGCGGCUACCUGGACCGAUAUUGACGCUGAGACGCGAAAGCGUGGGGAGCAAACAGG
rnacentral:rRNA from 1 species